AGUCGAACGGUAACAGGAAGCAGCUUGCUGCUUUGCUGACGAGUGGCGGACGGGUGAGUAAUGUCUGGGAAACUGCCUGAUGGAGGGGGAUAACUACUGGAAACGGUAGCUAAUACCGCAUAACGUCGCAAGACCAAAGAGGGGGACCUUCGGGCCUCUAGGCCAUCGAAUGUGCCCAGAUGGGAUUAGCUAGUAGGUGGGCUAACGGCUCACCUAGGCGACGAUCCCUAGCUGGUCUGAAAGGAUGACCAGCCACACUGGAACUGAGACACGGUCCAGACUCCUACCGGAGGCAGCAGUGGGGAAUAUUGCACAAUGGGCGCAAGCCUGAUGCAGCCAUGCCGCGUGUAUGAAGAAGGCCUUCGGGUUGUAAAGUACUUUCAGCGGGGAGGAAGCGGAUGAGGCUUAAUAACCUUCAUCAAUUGACGUUACCCGCAGAAAAAGCACCGGCUAACUCCGUGCCAGCAGCAGCGGUAAUACGGAGGGUGCAAGCGUUAAUCGGAAUUACUGGGCGUAAAGCGCACGCAGGCGGUCUGUCAAGUCGGAUGUGAAAUCCCCGGGCUCAACCUGGGAACUGCAUUCGAAACUGGCAGGCUAGAGUCUUGUAGAGGGGGGUAGAAUUCCAGGUGUAGCGGUGAAAUGCGUAGAGAUCUGGAGGAAUACCGGUGGCGAAGGCGGCCCCCUGGACAAAGACUGACGCUCAGGUGCGAAAGCGUGGGGAGCAAACAGGAUUAGAUACCCUGGUAGUCCACGCCGUAAACGAUGUCGACUUGGAGGUUGUGCCCUUGAGGCGUGGCUUCCGGAGCUAACGCGUUAAGUCGACCGCCUGGGGAGUACGGCCGCAAGGUUAAAACUCAAAUGAAUAGACAGGGGGCCCGCACAAGCGGUGGAGCAUGUGGUUUAAUUCGAUGCAACACGAAGAACCUCUACCUACUCUUGACAUCCAGAGAACUUUCCAGAGAUGCAUUGGUGCCUUCUGGGAACUACUGAGACAAGUGCUGCAUGGCUGUCGUCAGCUCGUGUUGUGAAAUGAUUGGGGUAAGUCCCGCAACGAGCGCAACCCUUAUCCUUGGUUGCCAGCGCUUAGGCCGGGAACUCAAAGGAGACUGCCAGUGAUAAACUGGAGGAAGGUGGGGAUGACGUCAAGUCAUCAUGGCCCUUACGAGUAGGGCUACACACGUGCUACAAUGGCGCAUACAAAGAGAAGCCACCUCGCGACAGCAAGCGGACCUCAUAAAGUGCGUCGUAGUCCGAAUUGGAAUCUGCAACUCGAAUCCAUGGAAAUCGGAAUCGCUAGUAAUCGUGGAUCAGAAUGCCACGGUGAAUACGUUCCCGGGCCUUGUACACACCGCCCGUCACACCAUGGGAGUGGGUUGCAAAAGAAGUAGUUAGCUUAACC
rnacentral:rRNA from 1 species